rnacentral:lncRNA from 10 species
AUGAGUCAGCCAUAUACAGCAUGGAACAGGGCUCCACAAGGACAUGAAUACCAGGUGGCAGGGAUCACUGGGCCAUCUCUCUAAAUCACGAAUGAAACAUUUGCAACCUGUGUCUCCCAAACAUGAUAUGUCUCAAUCAUCAAAGGUUAAAGGAGGCAUUGUAAUAUGGCACAUGACCAAGAAAGCACCCUCAGCCUGUUUCUUCAGGAGUGUCAGAGUUCUCAGGACAUCACGGGGAAGCACAGGGGAUCUACAGUGACUACAAUAACCAAGUGCUACAAAAACGCUGUGACGAGGAAUCUGAACAACAGAGAUUUGAGGGAAACAAAACACUUUCGACGAAGGUCCUGCUGCUUGUCUUCAGCUUGGUACCAAUUAGAGCUUCACUGGAGGUGAAAAGGGCAGACACGGUUGCUGAGUGGCUGGUUGGAGAGUCCCUGAGAGAUUACCCAAGAAACUCAGUUGCGGCACGUGGUGGAGCAGCCUCUCAGGAGAUUUUUAGGGAUGCAAGAUGAAAGGAGCUAAACAUAACUAUAGGAAAUGGAGGCUGUUAUCAGCAUCUAGCUUAGGAUGGCGAGCCAAGCAUGGCUCUCAGGUGCAACUCACAUGGAGACGUGGCUCUCAGGUAAAAGAUACAACUCAGGUACACAAAUGGAGUUCUAAGUAUAGUAACAAUUUAGUUACAUAGUUACUUCCAUUUCCAGAGAUGUGAUCCUUUGCUGUGUAAAUCGCGGCAUGUCUUCCAAGGAAAAAACUGUAACUAAAUCUAUGGCAAGUUUUUGGAUUAGAAAAAUCUAGGCUUCAUGAAGAUAAGAGCAGAGCUGUGGAAAAGUAAGACAAAGAAAUCAUCCAACAAUACAAGCAACAUACAAGAGGUUUGCAGUCUAUCAAUGAAAACUGAUUAAAAUACUUCAUGUCUUGCUGUCUGAAGCUCCAGAGGGGUAAGGCUUUAUUAUUUCUCUCCUAUUUACUUGUAAGAUGCAUCUGAAGCAGUUUGGGA